CCUACGGGAGGCAGCAGUGGGGAAUAUUGGGCAAUGGAGGCAACUCUGACCCAGCAACGCCGCGUGAAUGAUGAAGGUCUUCGGAUUGUAAAGCUCUAUCAGCAGGGAAGAAGCAAGACGGUACCUGACUAAGAAGCCCCGGCUAACUACGUGCCAGCAGCCGCGGUAAUACGUAGGGGGCAAGCGUUAUCCGGAUUUACUGGGUGUAAAGGGAGCGUAGACGGUAUGGCAAGUCUGAAGUGAAAGCCCAGGGCUUAACCCUGGGACUGCUUUGGAAACUGUUAGACUAGAGUGCUGGAGAGGUAAGUGGAAUUCCUAGUGUAGCGGUGAAAUGCGUAGAUAUUAGGAGGAACACCAGUGGCGAAGGCGGCUUACUGGACAGUAACUGACGUUGAGGCUCGAAAGCGUGGGGAGCAAACAGGAUUAGAUACCCUGGUAGUC
rnacentral:rRNA from 1 species